UACGGAGGGUGCAAGCGUUAUCCGGAUUCACUGGGUUUAAAGGGUGCGUAGGCGGGCAGGUAAGUCAGGGGUGAAAUCUUCGAGCUUAACUCGGAAACUGCCUUUGAUACUAUCUGUCUUGAAUAUGGUGGAGGUAAGCGGAAUAUGUCAUGUAGCGGUGAAAUGCUUAGAUAUGACAUAGAACACCUAUUGCGAAGGCAGCUUACUACGCCUAUAUUGACGCUGAGGCACGAAAGCGUGGGGGAUCAAACAGG
rnacentral:rRNA from 1 species